rnacentral:rRNA from 1 species
UACGGGGGGGGCAAGCGUUGUUCGGAAUUACUGGGCGUAAAGGGCGCGUAGGCGGGUGGACAAGGCUCUCGUGAAAGCCCACGGCGCAACCGUGGAAUUGCGGGAGAUACUGUCUGUCUUGAGUCCGGGAGAGGAGGGUGGAAUUCCCAGUGUAGCGGUGAAAUGCGUAGAUAUUGGGAGGAACACCGGUGGGGAAGGCGGCUCUCUGGACCGGUACUGACGCUGAGGCGCGAAAGCUAGGGGAGCAAACGGG